UGUUAUUGAGGACUCAUUCCUCUUUUCGUUCUUCUCCGGGUGGGGCGCAUGCGCGACGAUUCCUUUCCAACUACCACCUUCCCCUGUCCCGGCAGCCGCAGCCGCUGCCGCCAAGGAGUCGGGAAGUUCAAAAUGGCCGCCGUAGAGUCUCAGCCGCCGCGGGAAGCGCCUGAGAUGGAAGAUGCAGAUAAUUCUGAAAAAAGCAUAAAUGAAGAAAAUGGAGAAGUAUCAGAGGAGGACCAAUCUCAAAACAAGCACAGUCGACACAAAAAAAAGAAGCACAAACAUAGAAACAAACACAAGAAACAUAAACAUUCUUCAGAAGAUGACAAGGACAAAAAACAUAAACAUAAGCAUAAACAUAAGAAACAUAAACGAAAAGAGGUUAUUGAUGCCUCUGACAAAGAAGGUGCAUCUCCAGCAAAAAGAACUAAAAUUGAUGACUUAGCUUUGCUGGAAGACUUGGAGAAACAGAGAGCUUUGAUUAAAGCUGAACUUGAUAAUGAGUUGAUGGAAGGAAAAGUUCAGUCUGGGAUGGGGCUAAUAUUACAAGGAUAUGAGUCAGGUUCUGAAGAAGAAGGAGAAAUACAUGAAAAGGCAAGAAAUGGGAAUAGAUCAACUGCUAGGUCAUCAAACACUAAGGGGAAACUUGAACUUGUUGACAAUAAAAAUAGUUCAAAGAAAAGAAGCAAAAGCAGAUCAAAAGAACGGACUAGACAUAGAUCUGAUAAAAAGAAAAGCAAGGGAAGUGUUGAAGGAAUUAAAGAAAAAACAACUAGAAGUAAGUCUAAAGAAAGAAAAAAGUCCAAAAGUCCAUCUAAAAGAAGCAAAUCUCAAGAUCAAGCAAGAAAAUCAAAAUCCCCAGCACUUAAAAGGCGAUCUCAGGAGAAAAUUGGAAAAGCCAAAUCCCCUCCCGAGGAUAAGAUUAAAGUAGAAGAUAAAAGCAAAUCAAAGGAUCGAAAGAAAUCCCCAAUUAUAAAUGAAAGCAAAAGUCGUGAUCGUGGAAAAAAAUCCAAAUCUCCAAUAGAACUAAGAAGCAAAUCCAAAGACAGAAGGUCACGAUCCAAAGAUAGGAAAUCCAAACGAUCUGAGACUGAUAAAGAAAAGAAGCCAAUUAAAUCUCCUUCUAAAGAUGCUUCUUCUGGGAAAGAAAAUCGAUCCCCAAGUAGAAGACCAGGUCGUAGUCCUAAAGGAAAAAGUUUAUCUCCCAAACAGCGUGAUAAAUCAAGACGAAGUAGGUCCCCACUACUUAAUGAUCGGAGAUCCAAGCAAAGUAAAUCACCAUCUCGGACUUUGUCUCCUGGUAGAAGAGCAAAGAGUCGAUCAGUGGAAAGAAAACGAAGAGAACCAGAAAGGAGAAGGCUUUCUUCUCCAAGAACACGUCCUAGAGAUGAUAUUCUUAGCAGACGUGAGAGAUCAAAAGAUGUCAGUCCUAUUAGCAGAUGGUCUCCAACUAGAAGAAGAUCAAGUAGAUCUCCUAUCCGUAGGAGAUCUCGUUCACCACUCAGGCGAAGUAGAACUCCAAGGAGGAGAAGCAGGUCUCCAAGAAGGAGAGAUAGAGGUAGACGGAGUAGAUCUCGACUUCGACGGAGGUCUCGAUCACGAGGUGGUCGUAGGCGCAGAAGCAGAAGCAAAGUUAAGGAAGAUAAAUUUAAAGGAAGCCUUUCUGAAGGAAUGAAAGUUGAACAGGAGUCAUCAUCUGAUGAUAACCUAGAAGACUUUGAUGUUGAAGAAGAAGAUGAAGAAGCCCUAAUAGAGCAGAGAAGAAUCCAAAGACAAGCGAUUGUUCAGAAGUACAAAUACCUUGCUGAAGAUAGCAAUAUGUCUAUGCCAUCUGAGCCAAGCAGCCCUCAGAGUAGUACUCGAACACGUUCACCCUCCCCUGAUGAUAUUUUGGAACGGGUUGCUGCUGAUGUUAAAGAAUAUGAAAGAGAAAAUGUUGAUACAUUUGAAGCUUCUGUAAAAGCCAAACACAAUCUUAUGACAGUUGAACAAAAUAAUGGUUCAACUCAGAAGAAGCUGUUGGCUCCUGACAUGUUCACUGAAUCAGAUGAUAUGUUUGCUGCAUAUUUUGAUAGCGCUCGUCUUCGGGCUGCUGGCAUUGGAAAAGAUUUCAAAGAGAAUCCCAACCUCAGGGAUAAUUGGACUGAUGCAGAAGGCUAUUAUCGUGUUAAUAUAGGUGAAGUCCUAGAUAAACGUUACAAUGUGUAUGGUUACACUGGCCAAGGUGUCUUUAGUAAUGUAGUAAGAGCCAGAGAUAUGGCAAGAGCAAACCAGGAAGUGGCAGUGAAAAUCAUCAGAAACAAUGAGCUUAUGCAAAAAACGGGUUUAAAAGAACUGGAAUUUUUGAAGAAACUUAAUGAUGCUGAUCCUGAUGACAAAUUUCAUUGCCUACGGCUCUUCCGACAUUUUUACCACAAACAACAUCUCUGCCUUGUAUUUGAGCCUCUAAGUAUGAAUUUACGGGAGGUUUUGAAAAAAUAUGGAAAGGACGUUGGUCUUCAUAUUAAGGCUGUAAGAUCCUAUAGUCAGCAGUUAUUCUUGGCAUUAAAGCUUCUUAAAAGGUGCAACAUCCUACAUGCUGAUAUCAAGCCAGACAAUAUCCUGGUUAAUGAAUCAAAAACUAUUCUAAAGCUUUGUGAUUUUGGAUCGGCUUCACAUGUUGCAGAUAAUGACAUUACACCCUAUCUCGUCAGUAGAUUUUAUCGGGCUCCUGAAAUUAUUAUAGGAAAAAGCUAUGACUAUGGUAUAGAUAUGUGGUCUGUAGGCUGCACACUAUAUGAACUUUAUACUGGAAAAAUAUUAUUUCCUGGUAAAACCAAUAAUCAUAUGUUGAAACUUGCUAUGGAUCUCAAAGGAAAAAUGCCAAAUAAGAUGAUAAGAAAAGGUGUGUUCAAAGAUCAACACUUUGAUCAAAAUCUCAACUUCAUGUAUAUAGAAGUAGAUAAAGUAACAGAAAGGGAGAAAGUUACUGUCAUGAGCACCAUUAAUCCUACCAAGGACCUCUUGGCUGAUUUGAUUGGGUGCCAGCGACUUCCUGAAGACCAACGCAAAAAAGUGCACCAGCUAAAGGACUUGUUGGACCAGAUCUUAAUGUUGGACCCAGCUAAACGAAUUAGCAUCAACCAGGCUCUACAGCAUGCCUUCAUCCAGGAAAAAAUUUAAAUGAGAUGAAGAAGCUCAAAGGGUUUGAGUAAUUAAAAUACAAAGACUGAAGAAAUUUCACAGCAGUUUAUUAAUGUAUAUAAACUUAUAAAUAUUUCCCCCGCAAAUUGAGGAAGCAUGAUAUAUUUGAAUUAACACCAAGGCUGAUAUUUCUUUUAGAAAUGUUAGAGUAAAUCUGUUUGUGUCUUAUGUGAAAAUUUUCACUGUAGAACUGUUUUAAUUGCUGAGACUGCACACAAGUACAGUGCUAAUGUAAAUGGUUGCAGUUCACAUCAAAAAGAAAAAAAAUCUGUUAUAAAAUGAACAGUAAUACUGGGUGGAUGAUUGGUUUUUUAGCAGACUUGGCUUCAUUUUUGUCUUUAAAAAAAAAAAAAAAGGCCAGCAUAAAUGCUGUUUAUAUUCACGUUUUCCUAGGUGUGUGUGUGCAGGCCACAGCAGCAUGCCCUUGGUGUAGUCAGUGCCGAAAGGGGUCUGUUCCUUCUUGAGCCUGCCUGCAGGGAUGGUCUCCUCUUUUAAAGCAGGUUGUGUACAACUUUCAGUACACUGAAGAGAAAAAAAGAAAGCGGGGCACAGGCCAUUCAACGCCUUCUCCAGGGGGCCUGAUUUGCUGAGACACCAACUUCACCUUCUUAACAAGGUGCAGCUCAAGGAAGAUGAUGACAACCAGAAGACAUGAGCUAAGGGUAAGUGACUAUUCUUCAGAAGAACCUUUUGCAUUUAAAUGAUCAAGAUAUGGGAGCCUGUUUCUCUGCAAUGUUGAAGAUACAACUUAAUUAUUUCAUGGCAUGUUGAACUGUAAUAAGCAUUAAGGAGCACAUUCUCUUUGCUUAGUUAUUGGUCACUUGAUGAAAUGUGCCUCUCUUACUCUAGUCUUUUUUUUUCUCCUUCAUUUGAAUUUGGUAUUUUGUAUGCCUUUAUUUUAGAAGGAUGAUUUUCAGAAACAUUUCUAAACUGAUAAAUAGCAAAAACAUUGUUUUAAGUAUUUGUGUUGUAUGUUUUAUUCCUUUUAAUAUACUUUUAAAAUACUUGAUUGUUUCCCACAGUAGCAAAAACAUAUGCUGUAACCUUAUAAAUUAUUCAUUAAUAAAAUGCUUAGGUAUGCAAAUAAUGCUGUUUAGCUUUUACUAUCUCAAAAUAGCUUUCAAAGAUAGACCAUAUAUAUAUGUACAUAUAUACAUGUAUAUAUGUAUAUAUACCCUAAAUCAGAUCAUGACAAUUUUUUAGCAUCAAGGAAAAUACAGUACAAAUUUCAGAUACAGAAGUAAUGUACAUUUCUUCCAUUAAAGGACACUCAUUUGACAAGAGAAAGAAGAUUGAGUUCAGCAUGCUUUUGCUUUAUCUUUUUUUUUCUUUUUUUUUUUUUUGGGGGGGGGGAGCUAAUUUUGAUCUUGAGGUCAAUGUGUUAGCUUUUUUUCCCUAAUUGGUCUUAAGUACUAGACCUGCCAGGAAAAAUGGUAAUAAAACUAUUGCUUUAGAAAUGGAUAGCCUACUGCUGUGAGUGCUCAAAAAGUCUAUUAUGUGAAGGUUUGGUGACUAGAAUCCAUUGUUUAUUUCCUAUCUUUCACCCUAAGACUAAAAUGAACAAAUUUCUCAUAAACAUUUUUGGGAAUUUUAUAUACUUUUUCAACCAAACUUAGAAUUCACCACUUCUUAAUUUAGAAUUAUUUGUUCUAUUUUCCAAAUAUUGAAUGCAGUGGGCUGCUAUAAAACUGCAUUAUAGUACAUAAAAAUUGCUGUGUUAUUACUAUACUAUUUAUAUCAUUUGCCAUAAAUAUUCUGAGGCAUUUAGUCUUCUAUAUUUUACAGCCAGUUAAGUUUUAAAGUUAAGAUUCUAAGAAGUCUGUUUUGGAAGGAUAGAUUUCAUAUCUCCAGUCUUGUUUGCAUGCCUCUGAAAUGAAUGGGAAAAAAGCAAAUUUUUGGGAUACAUCUUACAAUAAGAUGUAAGGCAAAUAGUGUAGCGUAUCAUAUGAGAAUGGAGACACAUAAACUAUUUCCAAGUUUUUUAUAUAAGGACACAAUGAAGACCCACUAAUUGGAGCAUCCCAAGGCUCUUUCUGUUUAGUCUUGAUUGUUUUGAAAUUGAUUAUCCAGUCUUUAUUUUCUAGAUUUGAUUUACUUACUGGUUUUUCUUAGACCACUGUGUUUAUUUAAAUAGACUGUACUUGUGUUGGAAGUAAUCAGCUUUCAAAGAAAGGAUAAUUUCAAUUUUUUGGCCAUUUAGCAAAAUUUAUUAUUUUUAAAGAUUAUAAACAAAAACAGAACUGAACUUCUUAAAAUUUGAAGGACAUGAAAUUUUAAGUUUUUUGGAACCAACAGUACAAAUUUCUUCUUUUAUCAAUUUGAACUGUAUAUCAUUAUAAGAGUUUCUGAAAUAAAUAUGCUUCUCUCUGAAAA